UACAGAGGUCCCAAGCGUUGUUCGGAUUCACUGGGCGUAAAGGGUGCGUAGGUGGCCUGGAAAGUUUGAUGUGAAAGCUCGGAGCUUAACUCCGAAAUGGCAUUGAAUACUACUGGGCUUGAGGGUCGGAGGGGAGAAUGGAAUUCCUGGCGUAGCGGUGAAAUGCGCAGAUAUCAGGAAGAACACCCGUGGCUAAGGCGGUUCUCUAGUACGGUACUGACGCUGAGACGCGAAAGCGUGGGGAGUGAACAGG
rnacentral:rRNA from 1 species